CAUGUCUUUUUGAUUAUAAUUUAAAGUCUGAUCUGCACAAUGAAUAUUAAAUUGCCGCAGUAUUUUGACUGUGCAAAGGUAGCAUAAUAAUUAGUUUCUUGAUUAGAAACUGGAAUGAAUGAUUGGACAAGAAAAUUUCUGUCUCUUUUUAAAGAGUUUUUGAACUUUAUUUUUGAGUUAAAAAGCUCAAAUAUAUAUAAAAGACGAGAAGACCCUAUAGAGUUUAAUAUUUUUUUAUUGAUUGAGUAUUAGAAUAAUUUUUCAAUUUUAAGUAUUUGGUUGGGGUGAUUUGGAGAUUUAAUUAAUUCUUUAAAAUAUUUAAUUGAUGAUGAUCAAAUUUUUUAUCUAAAUUUUUUAAAUUUAAAAUUAAUUACCUUAGGGAUAACAGCGUAAUUUUUCUUUAAAGUUCUUAUUAAAAGAAAAUUUUGCGACCUCGAUGUUGGAUUAAAAUAAAUUUUUGGUGCAGUAGCUUAAAAAUUAGGUCUGUUCGACCUUUAAUAUUUUACAUGAUCUGAGUUUAAACCGGUGUAAGCCAGGUUGGAUUCUAUCUUUAAUUAGAUUAUAUAUUUUAGUACGAAAGGACCAAAUAUAUAUUAUAUAUUAAUUA
rnacentral:rRNA from 1 species